rnacentral:rRNA from 1 species
AUCAGCAGCCAUAUCAUCCUGCAGUUCAGAAGUGGCAGCCCAUUGAAGCUCAGCAGGUGUGAGCCUGGUGAGUACCUGGAUGGGAGACUCCUGGGAAAAACUGAUUACUGCUGGAA